CAAACCAAGGUUAAAACUCAGCUCCACACUUACCCACAGCCGGAAACCCAAAAUCAAAGACUUGUUCUACCUCAAGCUCUCACUUCUUCUUCCUUCUUCUUCUGAUAGUCACUCUCAACUCACUCUUUCCUUUUCUUUUCUUUUUUCUCUUUGUGGAAAUUUUUUAUUGUUGUUGUUUAUUGUGAUUUCUGGGAUUCCGAUCCACCAUUGCCAGAAACCAUGGGUUCUCCAGUGAGUCCUUCGUGACUCCACUCUCUCCAUGCAUGAUCCAAGUCACCGUCGUUGCCUCCAGAUUUCUCUCCUCGACCAUGGCUUUCUCAGAAGGAUUUGGCGUCUUCAAGUUCGUUUUGGUGAGGAUUCUGGAUAAGGAAAUUUACUUUAGUUCAUUCGGAGAAGCGUCUCUCUCUGUUGUGGUGGAU